GCUUGUCUCAAAGAUUAAGCCAUGCAUGUCUAAGUAUAAAUAGUAUACAGUGAAACUGCGAAUGGCUCAUUAAAACAGUUAUAGUUUAUUUGAUAAUUGAAAAUUACAUGGAUAACCGUGGUAAUUCUAGAGCUAAUACAUGCUAAAAAUCCCGACUUUCACGGAAGGGAUGUAUUUAUUAGAUUAAAAACCAAUGCCCUCUGGGCUCUCUGGUGAUUCAUGAUAACUUCUCGAAUCGCAUGGCCUUGCGCCGGCGAUGGUUCAUUCAAAUUUCUUCCCUAUCAACUUUCGAUGUUUGGGUAGUGGCCAAACAUGGUUGCAACGGGUAACGGAGGGUUAGGGCUCGACCCCGGAGAAGGAGCCUGAGAAACGGCUACUACAUCCAAGGAAGGCAGCAGG
rnacentral:rRNA from 1 species